rnacentral:rRNA from 1 species
AACCCCAGGUCAGGCAGGGCUAACCACCAAAUUUAAGCAUAUCAAUAAGCGGA